AUUGAACGCUGGCGGCAUGCUUUACACAUGCAAGUCGAACGGUAACAGGUUAAGCUGACGAGUGGCGAACGGGUGAGUAAUGCAUCGGAACGUGCCCGGUCGUGGGGGAUAACGCAGCAAAAGCUGCGCUAAUACCGCAUACGAUCUGAGGAUGAAAGCGGGGGACCGUAAGGCCUCGCGCGAUCGGAGCGGCCGAUGUCAGAUUAGGUAGUUGGUGGGGUAAAGGCUCACCAAGCCGACGAUCUGUAGCUGGUCUGAGAGGACGACCAGCCACACUGGGACUGAGACACGGCCCAGACUCCUACGGGAGGCAGCAGUGGGGAAUUUUGGACAAUGGGCGCAAGCCUGAUCCAGCAAUGCCGCGUGCAGGAAGAAGGCCUUCGGGUUGUAAACUGCUUUUGUACGGAGCGAAAAGGCUCUCUCUAAUACAGGGGGUUCAUGACGGUACCGUAAGAAUAAGCACCGGCUAACUACGUGCCAGCAGCCGCAGUAA
rnacentral:rRNA from 1 species